CCUACGGGUGGCAGCAGUGAGGAAUAUUGGUCAAUGGACGCGAGUCUGAACCAGCCAUGUCGCGUGCAGGAUGACUGCCCUAUGGGUUGUAAACUUCUUUUAUAAAGGGAUAAAGUGAGACACGUGUGCCUUUCUGUAUGUACUUUAUGAAUAAGGAUCGGCUAACUCCGUGCCAGCAGCCGCGGUAAUACGGAGGAGUCAAGCGUUAUCCGGAUUUAUUGGGUGUAAAGGGUGCGUAGGCGGACAGGUAAGUUAGAAGUGAAAACCCAAGGCUCAACCUCGGGAUUGCUUUUGAUACUGUCAAGCUAGAGAACAGGAGAGGUAAGAGGAAUGUAUGGUGUAGCGGUGAAAUGCGUAGAGAUUAGACAGAACACCGAUGGCGAAGGCGUCUUAC
rnacentral:rRNA from 1 species